rnacentral:lncRNA from 1 species
AUAUUAAUAUUGUAAGUACGGGUUUGCACAUAGAAGCUGAUCAUGUGUCAGGAUCUUUGGCCCAAAUCUGAAAUGCUAAAGGCACUCACUUCUGGAAGAUGCUGAAACUUUAUUGAAUUAUGUUUUUACAAGCUUCUUUAUGAUUAUCUUUUAGGUAUUUUCUGAUCUAAUGUUGAAAAGCUAUUUAGUGUAACUGCAGUUAAGUGAUUUCAUCUCAAAUGUUUAUUUUGCUAUGCACAUCUCUUCCCCCUUUUCUUUUUUUAAUGUGAAGUGCUACAGCUUUACUUUAAGUUUAUAUGGAAAGCAACUAUACUUUAAGAAGUAUGCAGGAGGAUUUCCCAUGUCUGUAAACAUACUGGGUAGUUGAGCAUUUGCUGAAAUGAGCUGCCAAUUGUUUUCUGUCUUGUAAUACUCCUUUGUAGAUCUGCUGGUAUCUGGCUUGUCCCUGCUGCAUCUAUACAAUGCGUUCCUUCAUGUUUUGUGUAACAUCUUCCUCAGUCAUUUCUGUGUAUGUAAAUACAGAAACUGGAAAGAGAAAACUCUGUUUGUGAAUUGUCCCUCUUCCUGCCCUCACUUCUCCACCCCUCCAGCGUAGCUGGAAGGUUGGUCAUGAGCAGGAAGUGAGAACAAUAUUGAUCACUGGUAUCCAGGAAUUCUGAGGGGAAAGGGGGCAAAAAUGAGCACUGGAAAACAAUCUACGUGUUCUGACAACACAUUUAUGCUUUGAGACCCUUAGAAUGGGAGUGCUGUCGGUAGAAAAAGUAAAUGAAGACCUCGAGGUGUUGGUUGCAGAAGUAUCGAAGCUAACUGCCAUUGUAAGAGGCUUGGGUGUUGGUUUUGUGCCUUCUGUUACUUGUUCAGUUAUUUAAAUCACUCCUAAUAGUGGUUAGUGAGGUGCAAGCAGAGUGAAGCCUAAACCCAGAAGGGUUUUUGUGUAUUAUUUACCUUUAUUUUAGCUUGUCAAACUCAAAGCAGAGUUACAUUAAAACAAAGUAUCUUUCAGUGGUGACUUCUGUGACUGUAUAACUCCUGCCACAUGAGUGAUUACUGUUCAUUUCUGCACUUACUAUUUGCAAGUGCUGCAUGUUUGUGUCACAACGCUGUUUUCUAACACUGUUUCAAGUAAGAGAAGAACGUAAAAAAAGGUAAUUUAAAGUGAUGUAUUUAAUGGGAAGUAGUUCUAAGUUGCUCAACUGAGAAGAGAUGAGUACUGGCAUGUCUCAAAACUUGUUUUGUUCCCCAGGAGUUAAGCAUAGAGUGUUAUCUCCCUUUUAUUUGCACAGUAUCUCGCAUACCAGCAGAGCCUGGAAAUUCAUAAUGUUUAGCAAAAUGAGGAAAGAAAUCAAGAGUCACACAUUUUUGCUGUUGGCAGUGGUAGCCUGAUCAACAUUUACCCGUCAGCCUGCCACCUCCCGUAACUUAGACACUAGUUUUUAAAACCACUUUCUGCAGCCGUUAGUCCUCAGUUUCUGGUUGCCAAAUAUGUGUUUUCUUUUUUCUUCUUGCGCAAGCUUGUUGUUACUGCUGUGCUUAUAAGAGAGGGCUUAGCUGAGUUUUGGAGGUGUAUUUAGCAGCAGAUGUACUGCAUAUUGUCCUUUUUCUUGUGACAGUCCUUAAGAGUAUUUAAGUGUGUUAUUCAGCAUUUGAUGGGUGACCAAGCUAUUCUUUGUUUAUUUUCUGAAGCAUUGAACGUUUUGUUACAAAUGUAGGCUGAUAUUAUUACAGAUAAGUGAUUUUGUUCAUGGCUUUGAUGCUUAGUGUUGCUGUGAGAAAGAUCCCUGUGCAGGGUUCAACAAAUAAUUGUGGAGAGCAGCGGUUCCACUUUCUGUGCACGUGCUACCUAUUUUGUAAAUAAGCAUUGUAUGGCUGUUGGUCUUCCUUUUAAAAGCUAUCCUGUGCAUGGCUGACUUCAAAACUCUUAUAAAAGCUUAGGAAUUAAGUCAGUGUUGUAAACUAGAAACGUGAGGUAGACUUUCAGAAUUAUUUGGAAGAGGAAAAUACGUGUAUAUGAACUGAAGGAAUCUGAGUCAAAUAAGCAGGCUGUGCAGCUUUCCUGAGGUUUGUGAAAAAUCAAAAUGCAGUAACUUGUUAGACCUGUGUGAGGAGGAAUAGAGAACAUAUAUUUCUAGCCUGUCAUAGAACGGUGUGGAUUAACACAGAAGCAAGAAAAGAGCCUCAGAUGUUCUUGCAAAACUGUGACAAAACACCUUUGCAAAACGUGAUGACCUCAGUUGUACUGUGGUAGAAUAAAACAAAAUCAGAGGUUGGAAAAAAAUGGCAACUCGUGGUAUAAAGAGGUUAAGAAAUUGAAGUAUUAAUAUUCAAGUAAAAUACAUUUAAUAAGUAGGAAAUGAAGUGAAACAGUGUACUCUGAAGCUUAUCAAAGAGUUUACAGGAAGGUUCCUGAAGAUCUGGAGAUCUCCUGAAGGAUCCUGGAGAUCCUGAAGAUCUGGAGAAUUCAACUGAAAAUAGAAAAUCCGUUCUUUUUACCUGAGCCUGUAUCUGUGUAUUUAGGAAUAAACACAGUUUUUGUUUCGUAUUUUUACAACAGCUGUUUGGGUAACCUAAAGCACACAGACCGCGAUGCUGGUAUUUACGAGGCCUGCACUCCAAGGCUGUGAGUGCAACUGGAGCUAAAGGAGCCUUGCUGUUCUGCUGGGGCUUUAUGAAAACUUCAGGAGCAUUUGACAAGUUUUACUCUAUUCAGUGGGAGGAAAAAAGGAAAUGUACUUGUAGUUUUUAAGCUUUACAGAAUGAUUAGGUUUUAAUUUAGCAAAACUAUCCUAGACAAACAUAGUGUAUUUCUUUCUUAUAGUCAAAAUAAGAAGCGCCUAUGGUAGAAAGAGUACUGUGCAAAACUUGCUCUAGUGGAUGUGAGAGCUUUUGAGUCUGACAGUUUAAGUAGCGAAGACGAAAGUGAGGACAGUUCUUGGGCAGGGGACUUGAAGAGGAAUGUGAUUCAUGGGGCAUAGUGACUGGCGUAAUUACCAGUGCAGCUGCUGUAGUAAUUUCUGCCAGUGCUAAAAAAGCCUGUCAUGGCCUGUACUCUGCUGGUCAGAGUGUAAGUGAUAACGAUGGCAGCAGCAGUGCCAACUCCAGGCUGCUGUAUGCGAUUGGAGCAGUUUCUGCUAGGUUUCAAAUUGAUAUAAAACCUUCACAGGAUUUCCUGAAGUGUUCAGGCUGAGGAAAAACUUUGGAAUUGGGAGUGGCAAGGUUUUGUUAUGUGUUUUCUGUGAGGAAUAGUAAGAGUAGUGAUACAGAGGGAUUUAAAUAAUCUGAUAAUGAGUAAAACCUGUCAAAUUCAGGCAAGGAAAACCAAGGACUUGAGCACCUUCAAUUUUAACAUUAUCAGCACAAAAGGUUUGUAAGAAAUCCAUUUGCUUCAGUAUUCUAUUAAAUAAGGUUUUAAACUUUUUGUUCUGAUAGAGCUUUCUGUCAUUCUGUAUUUUUUUAAUCACGUUCUGUAAUCUGAAACAUCUGACUUGUGGUUCAGUGUUUGUUUCCAUUUAAGCCAAGUGACACAUUUCAGAGUUGAUCCAGCAUGGAAUUUGGAGGAAGGAGCUCUUGAAGCACUGGGACAGAAGAGUGGGAAGAAACGUUCUGCUGGACCCAGGCUUCUUUCUCAUGUAAAUGGCUUGACCUAGCGAGGAAAAGCUUUUGCUGAAGAGUGAGGGGAAUUUUGAAAUACUAACCACAAAAUGUUAUUUUCUGUCACUAAUGUGCAUCAUCAAAACUCACUUCUCUAGCACUCAACAAACGUAAUUUGCAUUUAAAAUUGAAGUGGAUUGCCAAAAGUCUUACAUCAGUCUCACAUCAAAGACAGCAGAAUUUCCUAGAAUUCAGGGACUCUGAUACUUACUGUCAGAGCAAUCUGUUUAACUGCCUAGCCCCAACAUCUGCAUUAGCAGCUCAUUGCAUUUCACCUGUGCAGUAGAAAUAAUAAUUUUGUCCUAUUUGAGAGAAGGCUUAGCUUCCUUCCUAGAUGUUCUAAGUGUAAACUGUAAAUACAUAUGCAGUGUUCCUAAUUUCUUUCAGUCUUCCUUAUCCUCUUCAAAGAGUUUCCAGAUCUUGCUCUUUUUCAACCUUUUAUUUACCUUUGAUUUCAUUUCUGCCAUUUCCAUCUCCUGUUCUUAAUAACGUGCCUCCCUCAGAUUGUUGCUGAAGAAUGCCAAACAGUGUUUGUGGCUCGAUUCAAGAAAGAGAUUAAGGAGGAGAUCACAAUUUCCUGCAUCCAAAGGUAUCAGAAGAUUGUUAGCUAAUUUAUGAAAACAUUCUGUAAUCAUUGCUCAUUGUUGUCCCUGUUGACUGAUGGUACGAGUUCCACAGGCUUAAAUUCGGGCACAAGAGGAGUCCUAAAAUAACACUGCAGAGUUUCUCCUUGUGCAGCAAGCGACUCUGCUCAUCCCAAGCACCUGGUGACUGCAACCUGAGUGACAGUAAGUAGUGUAGUUCUGUGGCUUAUGUUUCCAGCAUGUAUAUAUGUGUACGCUGAGGCUCAGCCCUAAUAAAGUCACCUUUUUUGAAAGUUGUAUUGCAUAUUGUCUUUGUCAUAGGUGGCUAUUAGUUUAUGGAAUGACAGUCACAUGACAUUUUUGAAAAUGCCAUUAAAUAUUAAGAUUCUCAGUUUGCUUGAAGGUUGUGGUUGCUUUUUGGUUUUAAUAACAAAAACCUCAAGCCUGAAAAUGGUAGUUCAGUCCUUUUCCCAUGGCAUCUUUGAGCUUUUUUCUAGUAUGGUAAGCAGGGUGAGAACUGAUUACGUUGUAAAAAUUAAAAUAAUCUCAGUUUAAAGCCUAUCAAGUAAAAAUAGUUCUAGUUUUAAAAUGAGAAAUACUAUUUUACAUGUUAUAGAAGAAAGUGUUCACCUCAGAGCUGACUUUUUUUUUCCCCUCUCCUCAGCAAUUAGGUAUUCACAGUCUCCAAAGGGAGGUUAGCAAAGACAGUAGUUUGAUUGGAAGGGGCCUACAAAGGUAAUCACAUCCACUUGCGUUGCCACCUUGGGGACGACCAAAAGUUAGAGCAGGUUCUGAGUGUCAUUUAGUGUUUCAAUUGGGGUUUUUUGUUUGGGUAUUUUUUGGCUAGUGUGUAGAGUAGUGUGAUGUGUGCCCACUGCUUUUUUUGCCCAGUUAAACAAAAAAUUCAACAGUUAAACUCCAGGGUAAAUCACAGGUGAUAAUGGGAUACGAAACUCUUGUUUUACCCAGCUCCCUGAGACAGGGUUCUGCAAUUCUUUUAGUGGUUCAAAAUGUCAUUGAGGGAGAGAGAAAUCUGACCAAUGGAUUGAUAACUGAGUAAUACCUGUGAGAUGUACAAAGCAGGAGGAAGAACUGAGUCUGUUUUAAAGAUGAGUAAAUUGAGAUGAGGUGAUCUGCACAUCAGGUGGGAAACCUGUGUGUGUGUGUGUAUACUUAACAAAUCUGAACGGACAACAAAUUUGCUAUCCAUCUGAAAGUGCCUGGUGCUGCUUGGACGUGCAGGCUGGUCUUUGCAUAUAUCGUGUGUCUUCUGCCAUUUUCAUGCCCAGUUAUAAAAAUAGAUGCAGCUCUUAAGACAUUCAGGAAGAAAAUGAAAAUUUAACAAAUUGAAGACUUGUGCUAGAAUAUGUGGAUGUUGUCUUUGUUGUGAAAAGUGAAAGGGAAGGAAGUAAACUCUUUAGCCUGGAAGUCAAUUUUAAAGAUAAAGUAGAAGGGCAUUUUUAGAAACUUAGAGGGCAGGAUUCUUAGGGAUCUCCACCACAAAUGCCUUUAAAGGGGAGGUAUUUUACUGGAAUAAAUAGAAUAAAUUGGUGCAGAGGAGGAGGCUGAACAGGUCCCAGGUGUGGUGGCCUGGCUCGUAUUGUUGAUGGAAUUGUUGCCAUUGGCUUUGUGAACGUUUUGAUUUUAGCUUGUGAGCCACUUACAGUUCCAUUUCUGCAGUGAGGAUAAAGAACAAUGAACAAAUUUGCACAGAAGCUGCUGGUAGACAUCAGCAGUGAGAUCUAGCCUGGCAUUUAAAUAAAGCCUAAUUAAACAUAUGUUUCUCUGGAAAUGUUUGAGAAUUUCUGCUGGUCACGCUAUGGCAUUUUCCCUUCUAGGUGCAGGUGGAGUUUGUGAUCAGCAAAAGCAGGAGUGUUACAAGCAGUAUGCACUCUGUGUCAUCUGUAGAUGUAAUUCAACUGUUUCAAGUCUGCUAAAACAGUGGUAGCUACAUGGGUGAGGCAGGACUUGGGCAGGUAACAUGCAGUUUUACUUCAGUUGCUGCUGGGGUGAGAGUCCCUACCUCCUUCCCCAUGGGAAGGUACCCUAACCCAGGAACACUUCAUGCAGCACUGAAAUGGAGGCCUUCACAGAAAGAUAAACCUCAGUAUGCUUCUCCAGUGAAAUAUAUUACACAUUUGUUAGUUUUUGGGUAACAGCCAAAUCAUUCCUUGUCCCUCCCCACACACGCUUCCAUUUAUAAAUGAAGUCUUCAGUCUUUUGAAUGUCAUACAAAACUGUUCAAAACCAGACUUGAGCAAUUGAAAUUCAAUUAGUUCAAUCAGAGUGAUUCAAUUGACACAGCUGAGUUCUGCAAUCUGAACAAAAGAUUUUGCUGUAAUUGUGCAGGAAUAUAUAAAUGCUGAUAUGAUUGUCUUGUCCUCAGCCCUCCAGAAGGAUGUAUUGCAUUUUAAAACUUACUGGCAUACACCCCAUUUUCUACUUGAUGCUUCUGUGGUGCCUCGGCCCCUCAUAAAAUUGGAGGUGAACAAAAUCCAGUGAAAUACAAGGAAGUGUGUUUCCUGUGGGCAAGCCUGCUGAAUGUUAGGCAUUCACAUGUAAUGUAUUGCUAAAUUUGGUGAAUCCGUUUGGACAUCCAUUCCGUCUUGAGACAGAUGAUCUUGUAAUAGCCAUUUGCAGAUGAUAUUUCUGAUGAAUCAUUUGAGGUUGUGAUUCACAGCUUGACUGUAGUGAUGUUCAAAUCAAAAAAAUGUGCUUUAUCUCAGAGCAGGAAGGGUUUUGCUUAUGCUUUUCUUGAAUCUACACCUGUCAGUCUGCAAUGUACAGUAAUGUCCAAAGCCAAGAAAAAAAAAUAAAAGAAGUUUACGCCCCAGUAUGAGAGCCAAGAAGCAGAAGUUUCCUUGGUCAUCUUGCUUCUGCCACAGUGUUCUUUCUGUCUGGCAUUUGUGGUGGAAGUGGCAGCAAUAUUAAGUAAGUUGCAGGUAAUUCUCCACCAUCCAGACUCAAAUCCUCAUCAGUGUGUUAAUGCAAAACUAUCUGAUUGGCAUGAGGAAACUGCAUGGCUUUGGACUGGAAACGCAACUGGAGAAGAUGCUGGGGCUGCUCAGAGAGACAACAUGAACAAGUGUAAUUGUAUCAGAUGCCUCCAGGAGUCUGCAGGCCGAGUGGCUGAAAUCUGUCCUUCCCAUGCACACAACUCUGCUGGGGCAGGUGAGUAGCAUGCUCUGCCAAUAGCAGGCCAAGCGAAAGCUCUCCAGGAUUCUCAGACUGAUAAAAACAAUACUGGAGGAAAUGGAAAAAGAUCUGAGUAGAAGAAUUUCUUGUUAUUAAUCACUAUCUAUACCAAGCACAGGACUACUAUUCUAGGCCUUGGAAAGUGACAUGUUAUUUUCCUUUCCUUUUAAAUAUGACAAAAGCCUAGGACUAAGUAGCAGAUAUUAAAUAUUGAGUAUUCCAAAAGGAUUUAUCAUCUGCUAAACAUAAAGAGACUUCUCUCCAAAAAGAAGCAGGCUGGCUAGGCCAUAUAUGUUUUUCUCCAUGCAGUAUGUGUAUUCCCACUUCAGCUUAAGCUAGAUAAACAGCUGAGUAAAUGGAAGUGCUUCCUCUUAACAGAAAUGCUAUUACUAAAAGCAGUCAGUGAUUUAAUCAAUUGAGUUUCACAGUAUUCACAGUUCACCCUCUUGUGUGCUAGAGUUCAGCACUGUACAAACAGGAUCAGAGGAUGAGAAAUUCUUUGCUUACCUAGCAGCAAAUUGGCUGCUUAGGCAGAUAUGCAGAGCACACUGUUGAGCAUCCAAUGCUGAAAUAAAGUUUUGAUAAUUGAGCUUUCUUUUGUAGCAUCGUUUGUUGUGGGUCAGAUCUUCAGGUAGCAGCUGUACAAAGUGCCUCAGCAUGCUGUGUGCCCUCUGAGUGAAGUGCAAAGCACAGAUCUUUACAUGGAAUGGAUGGUGGGACAUGAGCUGGGAGAACGUUCAGAGCCUUGGAGUGUUGUUGCUGCUCAUGUGCUGCAUUUCUCUCUUUGAAAGUUCCCACAAAAAGCUUGCAACAUACGGUGUAUAUUUAAGAGCCCCCCGAGGAGGGGAAUAAAAUACGUUUUUCUCUUUUCUCCAUACUUCAUGAAUGGCUCCCUUCUUGAAAACCACAGAUGAUGGAGCCUUGUUUUUCUUACAUCAUUUCUGCUCUUUUUGCAGUCGUCUCAAAAACGUUCUGUUUCUGCCAUUGUUCCUUAACUAUUUGCUUUCCUAUCUCAGAUGGCCUUAUGAAUGGAAACCCAUAGGAAAUGAAUAUUUGUGUUUAUUAAUGCUUCAACUUCUGCUAGCUAAGAGCUCUGGGAAGUACAGCAGUAUGGGCAAAACCAGUAAGAGUUGUGUUUUGGAAUGCUGUGUGUGUGAGUGCUGUGGCUGCUGUCUGCUCCAAGGCAGCAUUAGGAGUCAAGUAGGUGUUCAGAGCUGACAGUUAAUUUGAGUGAAAAUAGAUGCAAGAAGUGCCUGUUGGCAGCUGUGGGAUGUCUUAACUGGAAAGUAUAGCAAGUGUGGAUGUUUGUAAAGGAAGGUGGGUCCUCACCUGGGCAGAAUCAGGUUCUGAAAUACAGGAAGGCUGAAUUAGCAUGUGCAGCUAUGUGGAACUGCAUUCCAAUGCGUGGCCUCACUCACAGUGACCAAGCAAACCGAGCUCCUGUGUAUGCUGGGCUUGUUUUACUGUGCCUGAACCUAAUGCACUCCGAAGUUCAGGAUAAAUGAUUAUACAAAGGGGAAGAGAAAUGACUGGAGUGUUUGUAUUCUAUUUGUGCUCAGUAGCAUGUCUGUGAGCUUUAAAAAACAAAGCAAAAUGAAGUUUCAGACGAUGCAUUUCUGCCUUACUGAAGGUAAGGUCUGGUGUGUGGGGAAGUCAGUGCAGGGAAAGGACUCGUUAUUGUGAUAGAAAUUAAUCACUUUUAAUGCUGUGAGUUGGGUGGGGAAAAAGAAAGGGGUUCUAGUAUGAUAUUUACUACCUUGGGUGAAUACUUGAAGAGGAUUUUUAUUCAUCUACAAUGAAGGCAGUGGCUCAGCAACUAAUAGCUUUCACAAAUGCCAACAAAGCCUUUUCCCCUUGAUCUCAUCUUCAGCUCAUUCCAGCCUUCCUCUGCCUUCUGUGGAUACUUGUCUUUCUCUUCAUCUCUGACUGCAAAGGAAGCCUGAGUGCGACUUACACCUAGGAGUAGGAAAUGAAUUGAAGCAAAGCGAGGUGCUGCUUGGAUAAUACAUGCAUUUCUGCAAAGGGCUUCUAUCACAAAUCCAUCUUAGAAUCGUAGGGUAUCAUGAAUGACUGUGUGAACUCAAGGGGAAGAGGAAAGGCAAGAAAGGAGGUACAGAAGGAUUUGAAUUAAUUGGGCAUCCUACUCAGAACCUCAAACAGCAAUGAAAGGCCUGCACUACUGAACAGGCAAAGAUAAUCUGAGUAUAACUGCAGUCCUAUGGAAUCGUGGUGCUCCAGAGGGGCUGUGAGUGGGGUCCUGCCGUCCUCUUGCAUUGCUGCCUGCUCUCCCCAGCCUGUUGUUUGCUCAGACCAAACCUGAGGUCAGGAAAACAUGCUGCUGUUGUGAUGUAAAUGCUGGGCAAGCGGUCAAAAGAGGGAGGCAGAUCCAACCACCUGCUGGCUAUUGUGGCCCCCUGGUCUUUUUAUUUCACUGUUGGGAUUGCAGGCAAUGCCCUGUAGUAGCGGAGCAGAAGCUGGAUGUUGGGCUGGUGAUACGGAUGGGGAGAACCAGUUUGGGGUUAACCCAGCCCUGCCUUGUGCUGUAGAGCAUUGCUUCUUUUGACAUAGUAAUAAUCAUACCUGCUGCUUAAUUUGUUCACUAAUAAGGAUGGGUACAAGUCUUAUCCUUUUAGGAUAGCGAACACUAAAUGUGUAUUUGGUCAGCAUUAAGUGUCACAUUGUGUUUUAUCCGUAUUUAUUCUUGUUUCAAGGUAAGUAGAUGUGACUCAGCUGUUAAUGUGGCCGUAACUGAGCCCUAGAAUGGAACUGUUGCCUAAUAUGCAUAGUCAGAUAGUCCAAAACCAACAACAGAAUGCUCUGUGUAGAUGACUGUAUGGGGAACGUCACUGAUGUUGAAGUGCUUUAAACUCGUUGCCCAACAAACACGUGUUGUGGCAGCACUUUGUUAGCAUAUCCACUGCUGUUUCCAGGAUCUUAUCUUCUGUUCCUGGCUCUGGAAUUCUGCAUCUCUGGAUUUCUAGAAGCCGGACUUGUUGGUCUUCCACGAAUUUAGUAAAUGUAUAUCACCAAACAGGCUUCAUUUUGUGUUAUCCCUGGGGACUCUCCAUGGAGUACAGCAUAAGUUUUGCUUGCUGUAGUUGGUUUUAACAAGUUGGAGUAAUUGAGGAUAAGGUAAAAUCCUUAGCGUGUACCAGCUUGGACCAGGAGGUAUUUGAGUGCUGUGAAGUUUGGAUGGAAGAAAGGCUUCUCAGUCUGUCUCAUUCAUAUAAAAUAAGAUUUAAAAGAUGGGUUCCUUGGAUUUUUGCUCUGAAACUUCUCUUUAGCAGUGCACCAUGACUUGUGUAUGCGUUUGCUCAGCACAAGAAACUUUCUGCUUUGUAAUGCCACUAUUAGAAACUGCAGAGGUAGCGAUAGGUAGCAGUAAUACCACUUUCUACAACUUUGCCAUUCCUCUGAUGCUGAUGUUUGACACGCAGUAGGUGCAACAGCUCUGGGAACUGAGGAGCACCUGGUGUAGCGCCCAGCUGCAAGCAUGGCGAGGGAACUAAGUGAGGGAGCAGUCUGAGUGCUGGCACAUGCUGAGGUUUCUCCAGGCGUGUCUGGUGGGCCAAAGAGGCGCUGAUCAGCUCCGGGGCUCCUCAGCAGGCUGUGACAUCCUCUCAAGAAUGUUCUGCUGAUGAUAAAGUGAUUUUUUUUUUUUACCUUGCAUUUCACUGGGGAGGUGUGCUGUCAGUCAUUACCUUGCUGGGCAGGUUUAAUGGGGUGGAGGUUCUGGGAGAACUGGUGGGACUGGAACUAAGUCAUACUCCUUCAGUAUUAAAAUUGAGCCAGGCUUCUAAAUUAAAAGUGGUUAUUUGCCUAAUUUCCCUUCAGAUGCUCUAAUAUACCCGGGGAAUUACCAAGGCUAAUUGUCUGCUGCGUUGCUGUUGGUUGGCUCAGAUGCAGACCUCAGAGUGGGAGGAGAGCAAAGGAAGACCUAUGGGUGGGAAUUCGGGGACGUAGUGAACUUUGGAGCCUUUUAAUCCCUUCCUCCUAAAAUAAAUGAAUGACUGUAAUAUUUUCUUUGAGCACAGUUUCUUCUGUCUGCUAUCUGUUCUUUGGGCUGUCUGCAUUGUCCAGAGACUUCUAAAUCUCCUGUAGACCUAAGAUACUAUUUAGGAAAACGUGCACCAUUGUGCGUGCAUUUGGGCACAGUAGUUGUGGUGGUAUGAACUGCCCAUGCUGGUACAAAUGGAACAGAAUUCCUGUUGUAACACAUCU